rnacentral:lncRNA from 1 species
UGCGCCAUGAGCGCAUGAUACGCCCGACGUCUUGUGUGGAAGUUUUAUGCAAUAAUCAUAAAUAGUUUCUUAGGAAGUUUUAAGCAAUAACCAUUUAUUGUUUUUGAGACACGGCGGGACAUGUGAACCCCCCCCCCCCCCCCCACCCCACCCCACCCUGUUUUUUUUUUUUUUUUUACAAAUAUCACUAAAAUAAAAUUUUGAAUCAAACCAAAAAGUAUACAGAUCUUUAAAUUAGUAUAACAAAGAAGUGUGUACAGUUUCAAGC